rnacentral:rRNA from 1 species
AUGGCUCAGGAAUGAACGCUAGCUACAGGCUUAACACAUGCAAGUCGAGGGGCAGCAUGAGCUUAGCUUGCUAAGCUUGAUGGCGACCGGCGCACGGGUGAGUAACGCGUAUCCAACCUCCCCUUAGUAGGGCAUAGCCCGGUGAAAAUCGGAUUAAUACCCUAUGUUCUUCACAGCGGACAUCUAACGUGAAGCAAAGGUUCACCGCUAAGGGAUGGGGAUGCGUCUGAUUAGGUAGUCGGCGGGGUAACGGCCCACCGAGCCAUCGAUCAGUAGGGGUUCUGAGAGGAAGGUCCCCCACAUUGGAACUGGGACACGGUCCAAACUCCUACGGGAGGCAGCAGUGAGGAAUAUUGGUCAAUGGGCGCGAGCCUGAACCAGCCAAGUAGCGUGCAGGAUGACGGCCCUAUGGGUUGUAAACUGCUUUUAUGCGGGGAUAAAGUCACCCACGUGUGGGUGUUUGCAGGUACCGCAUGAAUAAGGACCGGCUAAUUCCGUGCCAGCCGCGGC